rnacentral:ribozyme from 1 species
UGCCCAGCAACUUCUAUCCCUACCUCCACGCGGUACCGGCCGGAAACUAUAGGGAAGAUCGGGUAACCAACCCCGGUGGGAACUUUGGUCGUAGGCUGACAGGGAAGG